rnacentral:rRNA from 1 species
AGGACGAACGCUGGCGGCGUGCUUAACACAUGCAAGUCACGGGGGCUCGCAAGAGCAACCGGCGAACGGGUGCGUAACACGUGAGCAACCUGCCUUAGUGCAGGGGAUAGCCGGCCCAACGGCCGGGUAAUACCGCAUACGGAUCCACUGGGGGGAGUCCCUGGUGGAGGAAACCUCCGGGGCACUGAGAGGGGCUCGCGGCCUAUCAGGCUGGUUGGCGGGGUAAUGGCCCACCAAGGCGACGACGGGUAGCUGGUCUGAGAGGAUGGCCAGCCACAUUGGGACUGAGAGACGGCCCAGACUCCUACGGGAGGCAGCAGUGGGGAAUCUUGCGCAAGGGUCGAAAGACUGACGCAAGCGACGCCGCGUGUGGGAGGAAGCCCUUCGGGGUGUAAACCACUGUUGCCCGGGACGAAUGACCCUUUCGAGGGGAGUGACGGUACCGGGUGAGGAAGCACCGGCUAACUCCGUGCCAGCCGCUGC